CCAGCCUCACGGAGGAGAACGACUUGCCCAAGCUGACUCUGCUGGGAAGGAAUGGCGGAGGGAUUUGAAACCAGGACUUUUCCCUCUACUUCGCCUGGCUCCAGGCUCCCCAGGGCCCCAGGGACCCUCUCUGCGCCCCUACGCGACCAGUGCUGUGACUUCCUCCCUGAGCAGCCCCGGCUGCGCCUCCAGGGACCGGCUGGGUUUGGAGGCAGCGGCUGGCUAAGUGAUGCAGGUAAAGGCGGGUUUGUCUGUCUGCAGUCCCUGCUUCUUCCCACUGAUUCUCUCGUCUCCCCGGAGCCCCAGCUUUUUAAGGCUUCCACGUCUUGACAUUGGCGACGCCACCGAAAUGAAGACAUUCUCAAGCAAUCAGAAUAAAGCGGCAAUGACCCAGUGAGGAAGGAAAAUGAGCACAGCCUGCCCUGGUCACACAAUUAAAACAUAUACGCUGGCCAAAGGUGCCAUUGCUUCCCUUCACCUUGUAAACCUGUCCAGUGCCCAGGGUCACCAUGAAUAAUCUGACAGACAGCAUGCUGCUCACAUCCAGAAUGGGAGCUCAAAGGGCAGAACAGCAGAGACCAUCCUACUCCUUGAAUUUUGUGCAACACUUGCUCAAGUCCUUUCCAUUAUUCCAGCCUUGGGAUCAAAAUAUGUCCUUCUAGUUGUGGGAUGUGGGACGCCGCCUCAACGUGGCCGGACGAGCGGUGCCAUGUCCGCGCCCAGGAUCCGAACCCUGGGCCGCUGCAGCCGAGCGCACGAACUUAACCACUCGGCCACGGAGCGGGCCCCUGAACUCAUAUUUUAAAUAAAG
rnacentral:lncRNA from 1 species